rnacentral:rRNA from 1 species
GAUGAGCGCUGGCGGCGUGCCUAAUACAUGCAAGUCGAGCGAACAGACGAGGAGCUUACUCCUCUGACGUUAGCGGCGGACGGGUGAGUAACACGUGGAUAACCUACCUAUAAGACUGGGAUAACUUCGGGAAACCGGAGCUAAUACCGGAUAACAUGUUGAACCGCAUGGUUCAACAGUGAAAGACGGUCUUGCUGUCACUUAUAGAUGGAUCCGCGUCGCAUUAGCUAGUUGGUAAGGUAACGGCUUACCAAGGCAACGAUGCGUAGCCGACCUGAGAGGGUGAUCGGCCACACUGGAACUGAGACACGGUCCAGACUCCUACGGGAGGCAGCAGUAGGGAAUCUUCCGCAAUGGGCGAAAGCCUGACGGAGCAACGCCGCGUGAGUGAAGAAGGUCUUCGGAUCGUAAAACUCUGUUAUUAGGGAAGAACAAAUGUGUAAGUAACUAUGCACGUCUUGACGGUACCUAAUCAGAAAGCCACGGCUAACUACGU